UUUUGAUACUCCCGCUUCUGCAAUUUCAUUCUCCCUCCCAUAGUUUCAAAACCCUAAAAUCCAAUUUUAUUCAUCAAUUUCAUUUUCCCCCAAUCUGACACCUAAAUUUCCACCACUCUCACCCACAAUCCACUUUCCCCCAAAUUGAAAUCCACAAUCUCACUCUCCCCUACCAAAGCAUCUCGUUCCUCUCCCCCAUUCAAACGUGAAUCUCAAUUGAAGCUUUAUGUUCCUAACGCUCAAUCUCAUAUCAAAGCUUUCAGUUCCAACACAAGCCAUUUGCUCGGUUCAGUUCCAAGUUAGUCUGCACCAUCUUCCUUCAUUAUGUGUUGCUACAACUUUUGCAAAGAAAGCAAUUAGCAAAGGUUCAAAAGGGGACAGAAAAAUUAAGCUCAAGCACAACCUGAUACAUGACAAUUGAAAUAAUGGAGAUAUGUGAAUGCUGGUAUUAUUAUGCUGCAUACAUAGUUCAUAAAUAUUUCAAGGGGCUAUCAGGGGUUGUUGAGUUUGUACCUUAAAAUGAAGAAAAGAAGAAUUUGGUGCCCUUUAAAGCUGUUGUGAAAGGUGUUUUGCUUCAUCAGCUUGUUCAGGCAAUUGCUACACUCAUCUUGGUGACAGCUAGAAAUGGCUUGAAGUAUUGUAUGAUCUCCAUCUCUACAUUAGGGAAUGAGUUUGACUGGUUUUUGAUUUAGUGUAACUCCCCUUCAACAUGUUUGCUUUUUGAUACAUUGUAAUAUGAGGUUUUGUAAGAAAUAGAGAAGUAACUGCAUUGUGUAUGAGCAUAGUGAAAAAUAUAAAUUAGAAUUUAUGUUAGAAUGCAGUAGCUUUGAGUUUUCAGGUACUUUAUAUGUCAUUCCAAUUGAAUUAAUGGAAUGUGCUGCUAUUAUCACAUUCAAGAAAAUAUGGGGGGUAUUUAAUUGAGCUGGAAACAG